GGCAGCAAAGACCAGCCUCAGCAAUGCUUGAUGAAGAUCAGCAAACAGUUGCAAGGCAAACCAAUAUCUUCUCCUAACUCUUCCAUCGGUGUUCCCAGGCAUAGUCCAAUGGUUGGCAACCUUUUAAGUGUCAGAAGUCACAAAUAGAUGGACGCAGAGAUGAAAGAUAAGUGAAUCACAGAAGAGGAAAGAUGAAAGAUGUGUUAGAAGAGUCAGAGAUAUGAAAUAAAAAAACAAGCUUCCCCUUGUGAGCAUGGGCUUCAGGAUCUGCUGGAACAAGAUGGCAUCAUGUUGAGUGACAAGAAGUUGAACUUGGAAAGAAAGAAAACAAGAUUUGAUGACACAACUACACCUUUGGGGCUAAGACUUGCUUGGAUCAGAGAGGCCUAAAUGUACUGAGCGCAUGCCAGUAAAGUUUUCAGUCAGCAAAUUCUUGCAAAUUGCAUUGUGAAAUGAUGAUAUGUUUCCCAUUACAUACACUCUUCUCAGGCAUCAGUAUUUGUCAUUUAUGAUUUUGUCAGCACAUAUCUUAUUAGAUGUAUGCCAUGAAAUAGAUGCAGAGAAUAAACUAAAUAAGGUAUGUUCUGAUGAAGACCGAUUUCAGCAUCAAUGAUGCCAAGAAAUGUAAAUAAGCAUUUAAGAUAUAUGUGAAAUAUUAUUGUUUGGAAACAAAGGUGCAAAUGCUUUUACUAAUAUAGAAAUGCUUGUGUGGUGAUAAAAGCUGUCAAGAGAAUUAUGUUUCCUGCUUCUGAGAUGCUCUUAAGUAUUUCGAGAAAAUGCAUGUCAAGAGUUAAUUGUCAAACAAAGGAAAAUAUAAUUGGUGAAGAUGUGUAUGUGUGUGUGUAUGUGUGUGUGUGUGUGUGUGUGUGUGAGAGAGAGAGAGAGAGAGAGAGAGAGAGAGAGAGAGAGAGAGAGAGAGUGCAUGUAUGUACACCUAUUGCACCUUCUUAGGAAAGAAGGGUUUCUUCUAUUCCCAAGCUACUAAAUGCUGAGCAGAUGGUCACAGGAGAAUAUUGGGAUGCACAGGCCUUGGAGAUUGAGGAAAAGCACAGACUUACAUGUCUGGACUCUUCUGGAGAAAGCAUAAAGGAAUGUUGCCGAGUCAGAAAUUACACAUCAUCACAAACAUUUCAUUAGCCACUUCCAGCUCUGUUGACUUCUGCAUGGACCUUGGGUUUGGCCAACCUGAGGAUGUUAGUAUUUGGCAGGUUGAAGUGGCUGAUGGUCCUGAUUUCCCUUUAUAGUAAAGGCAGGUCCACCAGUCCUGGAACGUGCAAGGACCCAUAAUAAUUCAGACUUGUGUUGUCUACAUG
rnacentral:lncRNA from 1 species